UACGAAGGGAGCUAGCGUUGUUCGGAAUCACUGGGCGUAAAGCGCACGUAGGCGGAUGUGUCAGUCAGGGGUGAAAUCCCGGAGCUCAACUUCGGAACUGCCUUUGAUACAGCACGUCUUGAGUCCGAUAGAGGUGGGUGGAAUUCCUAGUGUAGAGGUGAAAUUCGUAGAUAUUAGGAAGAACACCGGUGGCGAAGGCGGCCCACUGGAUCGGUACUGACGCUGAGGUGCGAAAGCGUGGGGAGCAAACAGGAUUAGAAACCCUA
rnacentral:rRNA from 1 species